GAGCCCGAGGAGGAGGGGGAGGAGGACGAAGGGGACUGGGAGUGGGAGAGGAGGAGGGGGAGGAGAGGCACAGGCUCUCCCAGGUGGUUUUCAGCACUGAAUGAGGCAGUGUAAGGGCGUACUCCGGCAGGGCAGCUGGCACGUAGUGGGGGCUUAAGAAGCCAGUUCCUUCCCUCCCCCUUUUUCCGGGGGUCCUGGUGGGAGAGAGUUGGGGGUCAUCUGCUUGGCGCUCCACAUUUGAUUUUCUCUGCAGCUCUCCGAGCGGGGAGGGCAGCGGACCCGGAGUUCCCACCCUGUGCUUCUUCCCCCAUCCCCAUCCCUCCACCACUGAGGUUCAGCCACUCGCUCUCCUUAGACAGAUCUCUUCUGUCUUCACAGCAGCAGCAGCAGCAGCAGCAGCAGCAGCAGCAGCAGCAGCAGCAGCAACAGCAGCAGCAGCAGCAGCAGCAGCAGCAGCAGCAGCAGCAGCAGCAGGCAGCUCCUCCCCAGCCCCAGCCCCAGUCCCAGCCCCAGGUAGCUGCUGGACUCCAGCCCCGGGCUCUGGGACAGCGGCCCAGGCUGGGGACAGUGUGCAGCCAUGGCGAGGCGGGAGGCAAGGCAGGGCCCUCCUCCGAGAGCUGGGGACAUGAGGACGGGGAAGGAAGGGGAAGGUUCGAGUUCAGUCUUCCCCUUCCCAUUUUCACCUCAGUUCCAGCGCCAGGGGCUUCAGCAGACCCAGCAACAACAGCAGACAGCAGCUUUGGUCCGGCAGCUCCAACAACAGCUCUCCAAUACCCAGCCACAGCCCAGUACCAACAUAUUUGGACGCUACUGAGCCACCUGGAAGAACUGCUUGUGCACUGGAUGGGGCCCCACCCUUUCCUCUUAAUUCCCAGUCCCCUUCCUGGGCUAGCACCAGUAGUGGUUGGGGCUCUUCCCUCAGGCUCCAUUUUUAAUGAGUUUUUAGUAUUUUUGUUAAUGUGAGGCAUUGAGCUGUUGGGUUUUGUAUAUUAUUUAUAUAGAGACCCCAGAGCUGUUGCACCCAAUACACAGAGCUUCUUUGCAAAGGGAGUGUGUGAGUCUGCAUGUCCGGGAAGGGCGGGCUCUCGGAAGGGUGCGGGCCGGACCAGCAAGUCAGCACCUUCAUUCUGUUCAGAUCAUCUCCCCUGUUUACCUUCCACCCCCUAAAUUUCUGAAUUCUAAUUGGCUUACUACCCUCUCUUUUCUCCAACCUGGCAACGUGUUAAGGGUUGGGGCCUUAGUCUCUCAGUAAGGGCGGUUCACCUUCUCAGCUAGAUGGUGCGGCUUCUGUAUAGUUUGUCUCCAUGGGAGGAUACACCGCUGGGAUUGGUGGGGGGCCGCUGGGCCAGAGGAAAAGUCACUGGAACCUGAUUCUCCUUCCACCCAUCCCACAUGCUGGGUCUUGAACAAGCUUCGGGGUGGGGGGUGACAGACACUGCUUACCCUUUUUGCCACCUUCUGUGGUCCCCCUAACGUUCCAAGUGAUAUCCUAGAUAGAGAACUUCCCUGAGUCACAUUUCUGGGAUGAAACAUUGCCCUCCAUUGGCAAGUGUCGCCACCAC
rnacentral:lncRNA from 1 species